rnacentral:rRNA from 1 species
UACGUAGGGUGCGAGCGUUAAUCGGAAUUACUGGGCGUAAAGCGUGCGCAGGCGGUUCGUUGUGUCUGUCGUGAAAGCCCCGGGCUUAACCUGGGAAUGGCGAUGGAAACUGACGAGCUUGAGUGUGGCAGAGGGGGGUGGAAUUCCGCGUGUAGCAGUGAAAUGCGUAGAGAUGUGGAGGAACACCGAUGGCGAAGGCAGCCCCCUGGGCUAACACUGACGCUCAUGCACGAAAGCGUGGGGAGCAAACAGG